rnacentral:lncRNA from 1 species
ACUCCCCUGCAUAGUACCGAUACUCAAUAUUGAAACCUGCACUUUGCAGACUUCAAUAUCAAACUCUGCUCUCGGGUCGCACUGAGUCCGUUUUGCGUCCAUUUCGCGCCAAAACGACUCCGACUUGUCCCGACACUCUCCAGAUGUGUCGACAAGCCUCAGAUGCUGAGAUCUCACUGGCAACCAAACAUCAGGGAUACUACACUUUCUCUCCCCAUAUCUCUCCUUUUGUCCUAAUACAUCCCCCUUUCCCUCUUUUGCCAAUGCCUCUCUUUCUCCCCCCUCCUCGAUCUCUAUCCCUCUCUUCUCUCCCACACACUAUCCUCAGUGUGGCCAUCAUCUUCCCUAAUUGGAUAGUUGCGACGAGACUGGUAGCCAUGGAGAGGGUUACCUGUUGCUCGCGAUUGAUCUGGCCUACGCCAUCUAUGCAGGUAAGAUAGCUUCCACCUAGGGGUGCCCUAGCCCUUCUUUCCCUCUGUGAUCUGCUCUAGGCCUACCUCGGGAGGUAAGAUAGCUUACAGUUCAGAGUGCUCUGAACCCUCUAACCCUCACAAUUCCCUCCUCUCUCUCUUUCUCUUCUCUUCGUUCUUGUCUUGAUGCUAGCCUAGCCCUAUUUUCGAUUUAUUUUUUAAAAAAGUGUAUUUGGCUCAUUGUUUGGAUAUUUGGAGACACUACAAGAAGAAGGAAUUUUGGCGGCGACUUUUUCGUGGCGACAACUACUGUCGCCAUCAAUGUAGAAGAUAUAGUGGCGACAAAUAAAUGUCGCCACCAAUGUAGAAGAUAUGGUGGCGACAAAUAAAUGUUGCCACCAAUACAUAAACAAUGGUGGCAGUAUAUAAAUGUCGCCGCCAAUACAUCAACAAUGGUGGCGACAACUAUACAUCGCCACCAAUAUUAAUAAGGGAUAAUUGCCUAUAUACCCCUCAUACGUUUGAAAAUAUUCGAUUUACCCCUACUUUUUUUUUUCUUUCUAAAAUACCCCUCAUAUGUUUCACCGUUAUUGCAAAAUACCCCCGCAGUUAUCUCCUGUUAAGUUAACUUGGGUUAAACGUGAGUUAAAUAUCUACCACAAUAAAAAAAAAAAUUACAAUGUCAAUUUUGCCCUUAACUUAAGGACAAAUAAAAAAUGUUGGUGACGGUAGAGGGGUAUAUUGGAAAAGACCAAAAGUCAAAAUAGUUUUUGUACCCCUGACUUUAAGGGCAAAUAAAAAAGUCAGUGAUGGUGGAAGGGUAUAUUUGAAAGGGCAAAAUAGUAAUUUUACAAAGAUAAUAUAGUUAAUUAACAGAUUUUAACUCUAGAGGUAUAUUAGAAAUAUGUUGGAACGUAGAAAGGGUAUUUUUAAUAUUAGCCUUCUAAAAGGGGUAAAUCGAAAAGUCGGAAACUUUUCAGGGGUAUAUAAGCAAUUGCCCCUAU